rnacentral:rRNA from 1 species
CCGUCAGGAUGAACGCUGGCGGCGUGCUUAACACAUGCAAGUCGAACGAUGAUCUCCAGCUUGCUGGGGGGAUUAGUGGCGAACGGGUGAGUAACACGUGAGUAACCUGCCCUUGACUCUGGGAUAAGCCUGGGAAACUGGGUCUAAUACCGGAUACGACCGUCCCGCGCAUGCGGUGGUGGUGGAAAGCUUUUGCGGUUUUGGAUGGACUCGCGGCCUAUCAGCUUGUUGGUGGGGUAAUGGCCUACCAAGGCGACGACGGGUAGCCGGCCUGAGAGGGUGACCGGCCACACUGGGACUGAGACACGGCCCAGACUCCUACGGGAGGCAGCAGUGGGGAAUAUUGCACAAUGGGCGAAAGCCUGAUGCAGCGACGCCGCGUGAGGGAUGACGGCCUUCGGGUUGUAAACCUCUUUCAGUAGGGAAGAAGCGAAAGUGACGGUACCUGCAGAAGAAGCGCCGGCUAACUACGUGCCAGCAGCCGCGGUAAUACGUAGGGCGCAAGCGUUAUCCGGAAUUAUUGGGCGUAAAGAGCUCGUAGGCGGUUUGUCGCGUCUGCUGUGAAAGACCGGGGCUCAACUCCGGUUCUGCAGUGGGUACGGGCAGACUAGAGUGAUGUAGGGGAGACUGGAAUUCCUGGUGUAGCGGUGAAAUGCGCAGAUAUCAGGAGGAACACCGAUGGCGAAGGCAGGUCUCUGGGCAUUAACUGACGCUGAGGAGCGAAAGCAUGGGGAGCGAACAGGAUUAGAUACCCUGGUAGUCCAUGCCGUAAACGUUGGGCACUAGGUGUGGGGGACAUUCCACGUUUUCCGCGCCGUAGCUAACGCAUUAAGUGCCC